rnacentral:rRNA from 1 species
AACAAACGCUGGCGGCGUGCCUAACACAUGCAAGUCGUACGAGAAAGUCGGCUUCGGCCGAUGAGUACAGUGGCGCACGGGUGAGUAGCGCGUGGGUAAUCUGCCCUUAAGUGUGGAAUAACGUACCGAAAGGUGCGCUAAUACCGCAUAAUGCCUGGCAACAUAAGUUGUCCGGCCAAAGAAGGCCUCUGCUUGCAAGCUUUCGCUAAAGGAUGAGUCCGCGUACCAUUAGCUAGUUGGUGGGGUAACGGCCUACCAAGGCGACGAUGGUUAGCUGGUCUGAGAGGAUGAUCAGCCACACUGGAACUGAGACACGGUCCAGACUCCUACGGGAGGCAGCAGUGAGGAAUAUUGGUCAAUGGGCGGAAGCCUGAACCAGCCAUCCCGCGUGAAGGAAGACAGCCUUACGGGUUGUAAACUUCUUUUCUGUCAGAAGAAUAAGCUUGUCGAGACGAGUGAUGCCGGUAUGACAGGAAUAAGCAUCGG